rnacentral:lncRNA from 1 species
AUUAAAGGUUUUCUUCAUUACCCAGUCAAGCCGUCUCCAGCCAUUAUUAGUCUCAAAGUGGGUUACUCGUCAUCAAACUAGAAGUAGUUAGUUCUACUAACAGGGAUAAAUAUAUAGUUAUCAGCCAUACUUGUAGAGCUAAAUAUUAGUAAUAGUAGUAGUACUAAUGUUAAUCAUCAUCACAGCAAAUUAAGUUGAUGUGUUGAAUAAUAAAGUUAAGUGAAGUAUAUUAAUUCAUAUUUAAAUUUCCACAGCUGUUAUAACAGUUUUGUAGACUUAAUUAAAAUAGUGUUAGAUCUUAAGCACCAAUUAUUAUGAUUAAACUAGCCUUGCCCAACCCAUCAAAAAAUGAUUGGUUGGAGUUUUGUAAAAACAAAAUCUGGGAGCCCCUGCCCUUCCUUUAGUAAGCCUUGUUCACCAAACUAUCAUAAACCACACAUUGAAAAAAUGAAAACAAUUUUCAAGUACACUGUCAACAAAUCAAUAAGAGUGGUGCAAGUUAAAUUAAAAAUGACCCAGAACGAGUGUUACACACACAAAAUGACAACUGGCUUUUAUAUAUAUAUAUAUAUUAGAUUUUAAUCUGUGUAAAAAUAGUAUCAUGCCAAAGUUCAUGUCAAACUCUUAUUUAAAUUUUCUUUUUACUUUUCAGUUUAUUAUCCACCUUAUGACUAUAUCAAGAAUGUUUAUAUGUCAUUUCUAAUGUUAAAUAGUAUUUGUUAAGAAAAUGGAAAAGUUUUCCAGCAUUUCGGUUGUUGCUGCAUAAUGCAUUUUCAAACAUUUUUAGCAAGACCAUGCAUGUAGCCCCUAUUAUCUGGGGUAGUAAUAAACAACUCCAGGCAGUAGGAAUCCAAGGCCUUACUAAUAUAAUCUUAUCACCCAAACUUUGACCCAUCAAGUCCAGCAGAAAUUGUUGAAGUAUACCUGAUUUAUCUAUUUCAUGAAGUUGUUUUAUUCAAGUGGCUCCAUCGUAAGUGUAAAAUUUCACAAAUCCAUUGAUAUUUCAAAUUUACCAGAAUGUAUUUUUCUGAUUAUGUCACAUAACCUAAAAAUUAUGGUUCAAAUGCUGAAAGAGAUGAAGCACCCAAAACCAAUAGGUCUAAGGUUUGUAAUAAAAAUUCUAUCACAGAUUUUAAACCUAAAAAUUAAUUUCAAGUAUAAUCAUUAGUUAAGACAAUAUGUUUGGGAAAAAGAAAUAAAUAAAAUCAAAAAUCUAAUAAAAACUUACAAAUUAUAAUCACUAACCUCACUAUUAGAUGUUUCUAAAAUUUGCCAAGAACCUCGAUAUGCCUACAUCAAGCUAAGUAUAUGCUUAAACUACAAUGUAAAAAAGUGGAAUUCAAGCCAACCCUUAUGAACAUUUGAAGUAUUAUAUACAUACUUAAGACAACAAUAUCAGGUCAUUGCUAAGAGACACAUGAAUGGAGCAUUACCAAAAGACAACUGGCUUUUAUAUAUAUUAGAUAUUAUAUUAACCUUACGGGUAAUCUAUGAUAUUAUCACAUUAAUAAGAUUCUCUUCUUUCUUUUACUUUCAUACAUGAACAUGUUUGCUGCACCUGAGAUGAGAUUUAACAAGGCCUUUAUAGUAAACAGAUCUCUCCUUCAAAAGCACAAAAGGCGUGUACUUUUAUGGUACAUAUGGAAAAAUAUUAGAAGAAGAAGAAGGAAGAGAGAUCGUUAUAAUCAGUACACCCAACAAGAAAGAGAUUUAAUUGGAAAGUAUGCUGCAGAGCACGGCAACACAAAAGCAGCUGUUUAUUAUAGCCACAUUUUAAAUAAAGUUAUUAGUGAGAGUUCAGCAAGAAUGUUUAAAAAACGAUAUAUAAAGUGUGUGAAGUUGAAGAAAUAGUGAACUUUAGCUGUAAAGCUUUAAUGACUUGUUUUAUUUCACACAUCCAUAUAUCAUUUGUACUGAAAUUGAUGAAACUUUAUAUAAAAAAUAAUUAAAUUUACUUGUAAAAUGUAUUUACAGUAUUCCUAUGUGGUAAACUUUUAAACGAGUGUAAGAAUAAUCAUGGUUUAAUAAGAACUGUUUAUAUAAAGGUAAGAACAUUUAUUUGAAGUUAAACUAAAAAUCUUAUGAACUUUUAUGUACCUCAUUUGUGAACCACCCAUAUCUAUAAAAUUUACAAAGUAUUUCAGAGUUCUUCCUUUUAGUUGUAUUGGAAUUGUACUAGACAAGAUUAUUCUUGUAACUGAAUUGAGUUGUAAGUUGUUUAAUUAUAUAUACUGAUUUCAACUUUCUAAAAUCUAAGAAGGUUUAAAUUAAGCAGAGGGUUUCAUUUGUUAGGAGAAUGAUUCAAGGUGGAAUGUCAUAUAUGAGAGACACUAAGUGAGAUGUGGUGAUAGACAAGAGCAGAUCUAAAAUAAAUGUACUCUUCAAUUUAAAUCAGCAGCUUCAUCUUUGGUAUCUAAGUGAUUGUGUAAUAUACAGUUUGGUGGUAUUAUUCCUAUUUUUAAGUAGAUUUGUUAAACUUGAAAGGCUUUUAAAGUCUUUAAUUUGUAAUUUUGAAGAUGAGAAUGAUAAAAAUAGAAAUUUAAGUAUCACAGAUAUCAUAAAGGAUAAAUACUUACUACUUAGACAGAUUUAUGACUAAAGCCAAUUGCAUUUUAUGUAAUAAUAACUUUAAUUUUCAUUACUGUACAUGUGUAUAAAGUAAAUGUAAGGUCCACAUGUACAUUGUUUAUAGAUUCAAAAAUACUGUCCUAAUUAAACUUUUAGAAAUGUGUUGUACAUUUUUGUUACUUCAGAAUAAAGAAAGUGCUUAUAUUAGGCUUGCAUAACUAACAAUUAAGUGAUUAUGUUUUUGAAUUGUCAUCAGUGGACUAUCUUUCAGUUGAAAUUUAGUCAAAUUUUCCUUUUUGUAUUAUUUCUUUUUUCUCUGACUUUACCAGAAAAAUUUUCUGGGCAAUAGUUUCAAAUUUUGGAUCAGCCUUUGCUUCAGACAUUUUCAAUGUCAUUUUGAGUCUCAUUAAGAGAGAUGAUUAAGGUGAAAUCAAGCCAAGUCCAUGUAUGUCUAUGGAAUUGUGACUUUAUUUUCAAAUAUGUACUUUUGAAUGUUUGUGUUAAACAUUUUUAUACAUGCAAUAAAUAAUCUUUUCCUGUUUCGAUUAUGUAUUGUUGUACGUUUGUUCAGUGAAUUUCAUAAAGUAUACUUGUAAAGACAUAUUUUAUAAAAGUUUUUACCGUACAAUUGCCUGAAAAGGAAGUAUUUUUUCUCGUGGUGUUUUUAUUUUAACAUUAUCUAUACAAGUACAGUGUGUACGACAUUAUAAAAUUGCCAGUAAAUAUAACUUAGUUGGAAUUUUGAACAAAGCUUUACUACUUGAUAAUGGUUAUUAUUGUAGAAUUAAUGUUCAUGAUAGUAACAACAUGUGGAAUCAAAAAAAAGUUUUGGUAAGUUGUGUGAAAAGUUAACCAAACCUCUAACACUUAUAACAGGUUCACCUGUCGUCUAAGUUGCCUAUGUAUGGUUGAUAGUGUGUAUGAAGCAUUAUAAGGCCAAAAAAAAAAAGUGUUAUUUUACUAUAAUUGUGUCAAUUUAAGUAUAAAUUAGGUUAACACAUGUAUAGAAAACUUGUUAUAUUUUAAUUGUAUUUUAAGUUCAUUCUGUGGAGUGACUUGGAAAUAAGAGUGUAAGUAGUUGAAAUGUGAUGGGCUUUGCUAUGUUUUAUAUUUAAAAAUUCAGUUUUUUAACUAAUUGUGAUGUUUUUGGUUUCAGGAUAAUUUUUUUUUUCUAUCUCUACUAAUAUUUGUAUAAAACAAAGAAGUCUAUUUGGGUGAGACUCAAAUGUGUCAUGUGAUUAAAGCAAUUGAAUAAAUGUUUUGUCAUCGAGUUAUGGUGUACCAAACAAAGAAAAAAAACAAGACCUUGAACCUUAAUAGAAACAACGAAGCACUGCAUGAUUUAAUAUUAUUAAAUAUUCAUACUUUGUAAGGUCUACCUUGCUACAGUAUUUGUCAUGUCAGGCACUUGCCAAUUCUUAAAUAGAUUUCUCUUUUAUUCUUGUGGUUUAAAAUGUCUUAGUAUUCUUUUGGUAACUUUUCACAAAUAAAUUUUUUCCUGCUAUACAGACAAUUUCAUGGUUGUUUUUUUUAUUGUUAAUAUUUUUACAG